GACAGAGGGUGCAAACGUUGCUCGGAAUUACUGGGCGUAAAGCGCGUGUAGGCUGACCGGAAAGUCGGGCGUGAAAUCCCUGGGCUCAACCCAGGAACUGCACUCGAAACUCCCGGUCUUGAGUGGUGGAGAGGGAAGUGGAAUUCCUGGUGUAGAGGUGAAAUUCGUAGAUAUCAGGAGGAACACCAGUGGCGAAGGCGGCAUCCUGGACCGGCAUUGACGCUGAGGCGCGAAAGCCAGGGGAGCAAACGGG
rnacentral:rRNA from 1 species